GAUGGAACGUCAGUCUCUAGAAUAAAGUUAGCAGAAACGGUCACUGGAAUUCAACGAUGCUUAAACGGGAACACGACAUUAUCAGGUUGGAUAUUUCCUAGCGUUCACAUCUUUCCAUCGGACUUCACACUACCAAGUGUCAAAUCACCUUCUGGAGAAAUGUUGGCCCUGCGAAUGAACGAAUAGCGGGGUGCCUGCUCCCCAAGCGAACCUAUUAUGGCUCCACCAUCGUGGCUUUCAUCACUGAGCAGACCUAACAGACCGAGGAACCACAUUAGAACGACCAGCUGCAGCUCUCCUGUUUGGCUGCCGCUGUUUCUAGAUGACUUGAUACGAGACUCGAGCAAAGCUGGGGGUAAAAAGUAGUGUUUCUCAGUGCGCUUCUCGGUUUUUAUCUGACCUUCUGUGUCCCUUUCUAUCUGUCAAGUUCCCUCCACCAAGGUACCAACGCUUGCAGAGACAAACUCUUCUCCCGAAGACGCUGGACCCGUUUGAAGAUCAGGGUUACUUGGAACAACCUUUAAGUGUGCUGCACUUAUCCUAAUAUUUUUCCCGCUAGAUAGAGAUUUCAGCAAAACAUCUGUUCCAUUUUUCUGAACCACUUGAAAUUGCUCGGGUGAAUAGUCGGCACUGACUUUGUUCUUUUUUGACGUAGGACUACGUCUUUCAUUUCUAUACCGGGGUGUAAAAUCAAAGUUUCGAAAACGAAAGCGUUACGCCGGAGACCGAGAUUUUGAGCGUUAAUAGCUCCUAAACAACUGAACGAAAUGGUAUGAUAAACACUUCAUUCGAAAGACGUUAUAUACUUGUUACUUUUGACGUAGGACUACGUCUAACCGGAAGAUAUAGGGGGUGAAAUGGAAAUCUAGGCACUGAACAAGUAGGAAAAAAUGCAAGAUUUGGAACGCUUAUAACUCGAGCAUUUCUCAAUAGAUCGCAAAGGUUUUUGCAUCAAUUGAUAGGAAAUAUAUCUACGCAUCUAUCAUAACGAAUAA